ensembl:lncRNA
AUUAUUUAUCUGUGCUUCAUUAGAGUUUUAUUCCCUGUGGUUUUAUCUUAUUCUUUCCUUUGAAAUAUAUUCCUCUGUCUUUUCAUUUUGUUUAACUUUCUAUGUUCAUAUCAAUGCAAUUAGGUGAAGCAGUUAUCUGUAUGGAUCUUGAAGAUGUGUCCUUGUAUGGGUAAAUCCCUAUGAAGUCUGCAUGUACCUAGGGGAUUUGAUGGGAAAGCUGAUCUGAAGUGAGCACAGAUUGCAUCUUCUAGUGGAAUGUGCUGGCAGCUGCAGCCUUCCUGGGAGGGCCUCAGCCAUCAUUGUUAUGCAAAGGCUUACAGAAAGUUUGAUCCACCAUGAGAUACCACAUAACAACUGCAUCGGACCAACUGAUCAAUUCUACAGCAAAGAUAUUGUGGCAGAAAUACCUUUAUAUGAUACUGUGUUACAACUGAAAGAAUACUUGGGUCUUGGAACCAAGUGUGGAAAGACUGAGAACAUACACAAGGAGACAUAAGGAAGAAUGACCAAAGGACUAGAAUACUGGACCAGAUCUUUAAGUAAAAAAGGCCCAUAGGUUGGUAGAGAUGAAGACUGAAGGAAAUCCAAGUGUGAAUGGAACGUACAAAGUUAAGACUAAAUAAAAGUGCAGAUGCAGAGUUUAUUAAGCUCUGGAAAUGCUCAUUAAGAAUGUCAUCAUGAACAUGUGUCAGAUUCUAAUGUAGGAUGGCUCAAUUUUUAGAGGUUUAUAUCCCCAGUAUGAGCUUAAGACUCAUGUAUCCAAUCAUCUGCCUGAUACAUCCAACUGACUAGCUCAAUGGAAGCUCAAACUCAACAUGACUAAGGUAAAACUCAUUAUUUUCCUCACUAAAUCUGUUCUUUCAGUGUUC